CACGUAGAGCGCAAGCGUUGUCCGGAAUUAUUGGGCGUAAAGAGCUCGUAGGCGGUCUGUUGCGUCCGCUGUGAAAACUCGGGGCUUAACCCCGAGCCUGCAGUGGAUACGGGCAGACUAGAGGUAGGUAGGGGAGAAUGGAAUUCCCGGUGUAGCGGUGAAAUGCGCAGAUAUCGGGAGGAACACCGGUGGCGAAGGCGGUUCUCUGGGCCUUACCUGACGCUGAGGAGCGAAAGCGUGGGGAGCGAACAGG
rnacentral:rRNA from 1 species